ACAGCAGGAUUUUAACAGGAUUUUAAAAGGUGAUUGCAGCUGUAAAUUCUGUCUCUCUGCCUGGGGGACAAAGCAGCAGGCAUAACAAAAGGUGGUUACCCUGUCCUUUAUAUUUAUAACAGAUGUGUUCACUGAUUGUUGUCUUGUCUGCAUGGGACUUUUUAUAUGCACAUUAUCUGUAACUUGGGUCUCCACCAAGUGCUGUUUCCAAUAUCCUCUAUAGAUGAUGUCAUGGUAUCCUCCUGCACUGAGGAUACCUCUCUGAGGCAAGUUAUUAGGAAGAGAUAGGAAUAGUAACAAGGGAUUUGGAUUUUAGAAAUAUAGAUAGUUGGCAAAUUGCUGGUUGAGUGUGAAGGUUGCAGAUCUCACAGAACAUCUAGGCUGAGUUAUGGGCCAUGCAAAGGAGGAGCUGGGGGUUGUAGUACCUACAUGUACCAAUGACCUAGGGCAGUGAUCUCCAACCUUUUAACACCCAAGAUCACUUUUUGAAUUUAAGGUCAACCCAGGAUCUAUCCUGUCCCUUCCCUGUUUCCUCACUUCCCCAGGUGGGUAUUGUAGUUUUAAGAAUGCUUGAUAAACAGAUUGACAGAGCAAGA